AAAGGAUCACGUCAUUAUGCAGAGAUGCGAUAAUGCAUAUAUUGUGAAAGCUCAUCAUGAACCCCAGAACAGAAGCUCCAGUCUUGAUUGUAACUAGAAAACAUAUAUGCCUGACUUGUAAGCUGAUGGUUUUUUUUCCUUCCUCUUUUUAUCUGUCUUCUACAAUCUAGAACAGUAUUUGGAAACCUUUUGAGUGAUUAUUUGUUCUGAUCAUACAGCUUCAUAACAGUUCAUAAUGCUGGCAAACCAGAUUAUGAUAUUUCUUCUAAUGUUGGAUUUGUUUGCUAUGGGCAAAUAGAAAUUUGGAUGACAUGGUUGUAA